CAGAUUUGUUAGAACAACCUUGAAACAAGUCUGAUAAUUCCAUGAAGCUUGUUACAAGUUGUUAACAGCUUGUUCCAACAACUGGGAAAAGUAGUGCCAACACAAUGUGUCGACAGGGUGACAGCUAACAGCUUGUGAACAAACUUUGUAACAACUUGUUUGCAGACUUGUAUAAACAACUUGUGCGUUUUUAUGAAUAAAUUAUAUAUACUCGAAAAUCGGGGUAAUCAGAACAGUUCAGAACAGUCAUAUGUGACUGUCUUCUGUUCCAUUCCAUUAGUGUUCCGAAAAUCCGGAAUACUUCGACAAUGAAACAGCUUGUUGGUUAUUCGCCUCGCCCGUUUUUAGGUGUCCCGCGGUGGGCUGACCGUCUGCCACGCAGGCUAUUACGUGGAAGGCGGCUUAUUUGAGCGAUUUAGUUGCAUGUGGCUUGUAUUUCAGAGGAUUUAGUGGCAAUAGUACGAGAUUGUUUUAGUGAUGGAAAGUUUUUAUACUAAUUAUUAAAUACUUUUACACAAUGCCACUGUCUAAAAAUUACGGUUGCCAUAGAGUUUUUACAGUGAAUUAAACACAAACUGUCAGAAGCAAUUGACACUCGACACUCACAAUUGACACACGCAAGUUGUUAACAUUGUCAUUCUCUAUGUUUCGACUAUUAAUUCCACCACGU
rnacentral:lncRNA from 1 species